rnacentral:rRNA from 1 species
CUCCUGGAAACGGGUGGUAAUGCCGGAUGUUCCAGUUGAUCGCAUGGUCUUCUGGGAAAGCUUUCGCGGUAUGGGAUGGGGUCGCGUCCUAUCAGCUUGACGGCGGGGUAACGGCCCACCGUGGCUUCGACGGGUAGCCGGCCUGAGAGGGCGACCGGCCACAUUGGGACUGAGAUACGGCCCAGACUCCUACGGGAGGCAGCAGUGGGGAAUAUUGCACAAUGGGCGCAAGCCUGAUGCAGCGACGCCGCGUGAGGGAUGGAGGUCUUCGGGUUGUAAACCUCUUUUAUCGGGGAGCAAGCGUGAGUGAGUUUACCCGUUGAAUAAGCACCGGCUAACUACGUGCCAGCAGCCGCGGUAAUACGUAGGGUGCAAGCGUUAUCCGGAAUUAUUGGGCGUAAAGGGCUCGUAGGCGGUUCGUCGCGUCCGGUGUGAAAGUCCAUCGCUUAACGGUGGAUCCGCGCCGGGUACGGGCGGGCUUGAGUGCGGUAGGGGAGACUGGAAUUCCCGGUGUAACGGUGGAAUGUGUAGAUAUCGGGAAGAACACC